AUACGGAAGGUCCGGGCGUUAUCCGGAUUUAUUGGGUUUAAAGGGAGCGCAGGCGGAGAUGCAAGCGUGACGUCAAAUUUCGGGGCUCAACCCCGUCUCGCGUCGCGAACUGCGUCCCUUGGUUGCGGGAAGGGGAGGCGGAACUCGUGGUGUAGCGGGGAAAUGCAUAGAUAUCACGAAGAACUACGAUCGCGAAGGCAGCCUUCCGGCCCGUCAACGACGCUCAUGCUCGAAGGUGCGGGUAUCAAACAGGAUUAGAUACCCUGGUAGUCCGCACAGUAAACGAUGGACACCCGCGGUUUGGCCUGUAUGGCUGAGCCGCCAAGCGAAAGCGUUAAGUGUCCCACCUGGGGAGUACGCCGGCAACGGUGAAACUCGAAUGAAUUGGCGGGG
rnacentral:rRNA from 1 species